AACGAACGCUGGCGGCAUGCCUAACACAUGCAAGUCGAACGAACCCUUCGGGGUUAGUGGCGCACGGGUGCGUAACGCGUGGGAAUCUGCCCUUUGCUUCGGAAUAACAGUUAGAAAUGACUGCUAAUACCGGAUGAUGUCGCAAGACCAAAGAUUUAUAGGCAAAGGGUGAGCCCGCGUAGGAUUAGCUUGUUGGUGAGGUAAAAGCUCACCAAGGCGACGACCCUUAGCUGGUAUGAGAGGAUGAUCAGCCACACUGGGACUGAGACACGGCCCAGACUCCUACGGGAGGCAGCAGUGGGGAAUAUUGGACAAUGGGCGAAAGCCUGAUCCAGCAAUGCCGCGUGAGUGAUGAAGGCCUUAGGGUUGUAAAGCUCUUUUACCAGGGAUGAUAAUGACAGUACCUGGAGAAUAAGCUCCGGCUAACUCCGUGCCAGCCGCCGCCGUAA
rnacentral:rRNA from 1 species